rnacentral:rRNA from 1 species
AUUGAACGCUGGCGGCAGGCCUAACACAUGCAAGUCGAACGAGUGGCGGACGGGUGAGUAAUUUCUGGGCAACUGCCUGAUGGAGGGGUAUAACUACUGGAAACGGUAGCUAAUACCGCAUACCAUCAGAUGUGCCCAGAUGGGUUUAGCUUGUUGGUGGGGUAACGGCUCACCAAGGCGACGAUCCCUAGCUGGUCUGAGAGGAUGACCGGCCACACUGGAACUGAGACACGGCCCAGACUCCUACGGGAGGCAGCAGUGGGGAAUAUUCGACAAUGGGCGCAAGCCUGACGCAGCCAUGCCGCGUGAGUGAAGAAGGCUUUCGGGUUGUAAAGCACUGUUGGCGGGGAGGCGUUACCCAAAGAGAAAGCAACGGCUAACUCCGUGCCAGCAGCCGCGGUAAUAC